AUUGAACGCUGGCGGCAGGCCUAACACAUGCAAGUCGAGCGGAUGAAGGGAGCUUGCUCCUGGAUUCAGCGGCGGACGGGUGAGUAAUGCCUAGGAAUCUGCCUGGCAGUGGGGGAUAACGUCCGGAAACGGGCGCUAAUACCGCAUACGUCCUGCGGGAGAAAGUGGGGGAUCUUCGGACCUCACGCUAUCAGAUGAGCCUAGGUCGGAUUAGCUAGUUGGUGGGGUAAAGGCCUACCAAGGCGACGAUCCGUAACUGGUCUGAGAGGAUGAUCAGUCACACUGGAACUGAGACACGGUCCAGACUCCUACGGGAGGCAGCAGUGGGGAAUAUUAGACAAUGGGCGAAAGCCUGAUCCAGCCAUGCCGCGUGUGUGAAGAAGGUCUUCGGAUUGUAAAGCACUUUAAGUUGGGAGGAAGGGCAGUAAGUUAAUACCUUGCUGUUUUGACGUUACCAACAGAAUAAGCACCGGCUAACUUCGUG
rnacentral:rRNA from 1 species